rnacentral:rRNA from 1 species
CAUAGCGACUAUCGUGGCAUAUCAAUAAGCGGAGGAAAAGAAACUAACAAGGAUUCCCCUAGUAACGGCGAGUGAAGCGGGAAGAGCUCAAAUUUGAAAUCUUAAAGGGUUUCCCUUUACGAAUUGUAGUUUAAAGAAGUGUUUUCUGUUGGAGUUUCGGUAAAAGUUCUUUGGAAUAGGACAUCAUAGAGGGUGAGAAUCCCGUAUUUGACCGUUACUUUCCAGCUGUGUGAUACACUUUCAAAGAGUCGGAUUGUUUGGGAAUGCAGUCCAAGAUGGGUGGUAAAUUUCAUCUAAAGCUAAGUAUUGGCGAGAGACCGAUAGCGAACAAGUACCGUGAGGGAAAGAUGAAAAGAACUUUGAAAAGAGAGUUAAACAGUACGUGAAAUUGUCAAAAGGGAAGCGUUUGACACCAGUGUUGUUUAGUUGAAAAUCAAUUCAAUAGUUUUUGAUUCUAAGUAGUAUUGACUUCAUCAGCUUGCUGCUUUCUUUUCGGAAAUUAUUGAAUGCACUCUUCAGUUAACAAGUCAACAUCAAUUUCUUUUGUUGUAAAAGGGUAAGAGGAAGGUGGCUUACGCUUCGGCGUAAGUGUUUAUAGCCUUUUACCUCUGCAAUCGGAGAGAUUGAGGACAGCAGCGUAGACUCUUCGGGGUCAGAUACACUUGUGCUAAGCUAUAGCCUUGUAUAGACAACUUGUUGACUAUGCUCAGUCAUGUAGCUUACUCGCUUGUGCUAUUUUACCUACGCUUAGGAUGUUGACGCGCGUGUGUGCGUG